rnacentral:rRNA from 1 species
UACGGAGGGUGCAAGCGUUAUCCGGAUUCACUGGGUUUAAAGGGUGCGUAGGUGGGCAGGUAAGUCAGUGGUGAAAUCUCCGGGCUUAACUCGGAAACUGCCGUUGAUACUAUCUGUCUUGAAUAUCGUGGAGGUUAGCGGAAUAUGUCAUGUAGCGGUGAAAUGCUUAGAUAUGACAUAGAACACCCAUUGCGGAGGCAGCUAACUACACGAUCAUUGACACUGAGGCACGAAAGCGUGGGGAGCAAACAGG